AGUUUGAUCCCGGCUCAGAUUGAACGCUGGCGGGAUGCUUUACACAUGCAAGUCGAACGGCAGCACGGACUUCGGUCUGGUGGCGAGUGGCGAACGGGUGAGUAAUGUAUCGGAACGUGCCUAGUAGCGGGGGAUAACUACGCGAAAGCGUAGCUAAUACCGCAUACGCCCUUCGGGGGAAAGCGGGGAAUUCGGCCUCGCACUAUUAGAGCGCAUUAUAUCGGAUUAGCUAGUUGGUGGGGUAACGGCUCACCAAGCAUGGCGACGAUCCGUAGCUGGUUUGAGAUGACGACCAGCCACACUGGGACUGGAGACACGGCCCAGACUCUACGGGCAGCAGUGGGGAAUUUUGGACAAUGGGGAAACCCCUGAUCCAGCCAUCCUGCGUGUGCGAUGAAGGCUUCGGGCUAGAAAGCACUUGGCAGGAGGAAACCGGCAUCGGGAUAACACCUCGCACCGACGGUACCUGCAGAACAAGCACCGGCUAACUACGUGCCAGCAGCCGCGGUAAUACGUAGGUGCAAGCGUUAAUCGGAAUUACUGGGGCGUAAAGCGCAGCAGGCGGUUCGGAAAGAAAGAUGAACCCCAGAGCUUAACUUUGAACUGCAUUUUUAACUACUGAGCUAGAUGGUGUCAGAGGAGGUGGAAUUCCGCGUGUAGCAGUAAAUGCAGAUAUGCGGAGGAACACCGACACAAGGCAGCCUCCUGACAACACUGACGCUCAUGCACGAAAGCGUGGGGAGCAAACAGGAUUAGAUACUCCUGGUAGUCCAUGCCCCAAUGAUGUCAACUAGCUGUUGGGGCCUUCGCCUUGGUAGCGCAGCUAACGCGUGAAGUUGACCGCCUGGGGAGCACGUCGCAAGAUUAAAACUCAAAGGAAUUGGAUGACCCGCACAAGCGGUGGAUGAUGUGGAUUAAUUCGAUGCAACGCGAAAACCUUUACCUACCCUUGACAUGUCUGGAAUCCCGAAGAGAUUUGGGAGUGCUCGCAGAGAAUCCAACAGCAGGGGUGCCAUGGCUGUCAGUCGCUCGUGUCGUGAGAUGUUGGGUUAAGUCCUGCAACGAAAGGCAACUCCUGUCAUUAGUUAUUACGAAAGGGCACCUGACGAGACUGCCGGUGACAAACCGGAGGGAAGGUGGGGAUGACGUCAAGUCCUCAUGGCCCUUAUGGGUAGGGCUUCACACGUCAUACAAUGGUCGGGACAGAGGGUCGCCAACCUGAGGGGGAGCCACAAUCCCGAAACCCGAUCGUAGUCUGACUGCAGUCUGCAACUCGACUGCGCAGAAGUCGGAAUCGCUAGUAAUCGCGGAUCAGCAUGUCGCGGUGAAUACGUUCCCGGCUCGUACACACCGCCCGUCACACCAUGGGAGUGGGUUUACCAGAAGUAGCUAGCCUAACCGUAAGGAGGGCGAUUACCACGGUAGGAUUCAUGACUGGGGUGAAGUCGUAACAAGGUAA
rnacentral:rRNA from 1 species